rnacentral:rRNA from 1 species
GAUGAACGCUGGCGGCGUGCCUAAUACAUGCAAGUCGAGCGAACGGACGAGAAGCUUGCUUCUCUGAUGUUAGCGGCGGACGGGUGAGUAACACGUGGAUAACCUACCUAUAAGACUGGGAUAACUUCGGGAAACCGGAGCUAAUACCGGAUAAUAUUUUGAACCGCAUGGUUCAAAAGUAAAAGACGGUCUUGCUGUCACUUAUAGAUGGAUCCGCGCUGCAUUAGCUAGUUGGUAAGGUAACGGCUUACCAAGGCAACGAUGCAUAGCCGACCUGAGAGGGUGAUCGGCGACCCUGGAACGGAGCCACGGUCCAGAGUACUACGGGAGGCAGCAGUAGGGAAUGUUACGCAAUGGGCGAAAGCCUGACGGAGCAACGCCGCGUGAGUGAUGAAGGCCUUCGGAUCGUAAAACUCUGUUAUUAGGGAAGAACAUAUGUGUAAGUAACUGUGCACAUCUUGACGGUACCUAAUCAGAAAGCCACGGCUAACUACGUG